rnacentral:rRNA from 1 species
UAGGGAAUCUUCCGCAAUGGACGCAAGUCUGACGGAGCAACGCCGCGUGAGUGAAGAAGGAUUUCGGUUCGUAAAACUCUGUUGUUAGAGAAGAACAGCGCAUAGAGUAACUGUUAUGCGUGUGACGGUAUCUAACCAGAAAGCCACGGCUAACUACGUGCCAGCAGCCGCGGUAAUACGUAGGUGGCAAGCGUUGUCCGGGUUUAUUGGGCGUAAAGCGAGCGCAGGCGGUCAAUUAAGUCUGAUGUGAAAGCCCCCGGCUCAACCGGGGAGGGUCAUUGGAAACUGGUUUACUUGGGUGCAGAAGAGGAGGGUGGAAUUCCAUGUUUAGCGGUGAAAUGCGUAGAUAUAUGGCGGAACACCAGUGGCGAAGGCGACUCUCUGGUCUGUAACUGACGCUGAGGCUCGAAAGCGUGGGUAGCAAACAGG